rnacentral:lncRNA from 1 species
ACACUUUCAGUGUACAUAACAUUACUCUUGGUUUAAUAAUGUAAACAUUCUUGCACAGUGCUCAGAACAGGAUUGCUGCUUCCUUUGUAAAAGUUUCUUCAGUAAUAGUUGCCACCACAUCAAACAACAUAAUACUCGGAUUUACUUUCUCUACUUUCUUUUGAUAAGUAAAUAAUUACAUUAUGGCCAAGAGGUAUCAUUCAGCUCAUUCUACCUGAAGAGCUGUGCUUAUAUAUUAUUAAUUUUUUUUUGGG